ACUUGGAACUAAAUAGACACUAGUACUUCUUCUUACUCUCCAUGAGCCCCUUAUGCUACUUCUAUGGUUUAUUUGCCUACUUUUAACUCUCUCGAUUGAAAUCGGGCUGCUUUGUUUCAGCUGAUCUGAUACUAUGGGUGGGAUCUACAGAACAACCUUGACAUGUGUCUGCAACCAGUCCACAUUCUGCACAACUCCCACAACUUGAACACCAAGCUCUUUGUCCUUCAACCGAGAACCACGACCACCAGCGUACAGCACGGGCAUUGGGCGGAGAACAGAUGGCUGCCUCGCUGGGACUAUGGUCACACACAUGCAGCAGAUAACGAAUGGUGGAUGGAAGGCUACCACGUCUUGUAGUGGGCAAUCGGUGGAGAAUGGAGGGCUACCUCACCGGGCACUUAGCCAAUUGGUGCACAUGGACAUGAUGACUUUGCAGCGUUUAUGGAGCAACCAACUUGUAAUCAUGGAUCUUAUGUGUCCUCUAGACCAUUUAGUGUUUCGGUUAUUUUAGAGCUUGCAUUUUGUGCAUGUGGAUACAGACUUGUGCGUUCUGGACCAUCUAGUUGAAGUCUCUCAUACUAGCAAAUAGUGCUCAUCCUUUUGUGAUUUGUGUGUUCUGGGUGAUUGUUAA